ACAGUAGAAGCAGCUCCUUCUCCAAGGAAAGAGGCUGGAUCUGGGACUGUGAUUUUUGAGACUGAAACCCCCUCCUCACAAUGACCUUCGUGGGGUUACACGUUUAGGACCAGCUGUCCAUCUUGCACCUUGCAGAGGACCCUGCCGGUGGUCCAGCGUGAUGCACCGGUCCUCACUGCAUGGCAAAAUGAAGUGUCCCAACUCGAGUGUGCUGCACAUCUGGAGAGAAAGCAAGAGGCAGAGCAAGUGAGGGUGUGUUCAUGUUGUGAAGUGCUUCAGUCUUCACGGGCACAACGUCUAGGCGCUAAUACUGCAUCUCCUUCUCUCUGGACUCCCAGAUCCGUGCUUCAGAAACUCCCAUUAACCUCAACGAGCUCAAUCAAGCCACAACAGACCAUUGAAUAAAUAUGUACUUCUCCCUUACACACCCUUUCUCUCGAAGGGGAGCAAUCCCAAUAGCUUGCACCAGAAAUUCAGACAGUAAUUAUCUCUGUUAUUCACCGCAUAUUAAUCAGACUCAUUAUUUUAAAGCCGGGUCUGUCUUAUACAUUGUAAUGCACCAAACUGGAAGUUCACAUUGCACAGGAGAGACAGUUGUGGUAAUCCUUGUAAGUCUGUCCUUGCCCCCAUGGCAUUAGGGUUGUCUGAAUGAGUUAUAAUCACACACGUGAGUGCAAAAAUUGAUGUCCCCCCCAACGCAGAAUAAUCAAACUGGAGUUAGAUACAGUGCUUAAAGGGAUUUGUUCCCUGUCUCAUUGCUCCUCCCCGCUUCUCUGUCUAAUUAACUCUUCUAAUAGAAUUAAA